UACAGAGGUCCCAAGCGUUGCUCGGAAUCACUGGGCGUAAAGGGUGCGUAGGCGGGUCUUUAAGUCAGGGGUGAAAUCCUGGAGCUCAACUCCAGAACUGCCUUUGAUACUGAGGAUCUUGAGUUCGGGAGAGGUGAGUGGAACUGCGAGUGUAGAGGUGAAAUUCGUAGAUAUUCGCAAGAACACCAGUGGCGAAGGCGGCUCACUGGCCCGAUACUGACGCUGAGGCACGAAAGCGUGGGGAGCAAACAGG
rnacentral:rRNA from 1 species